UACGGGGGGGGCAAGCGUUGUUCGGAAUUACUGGGCGUAAAGGGCUCGUAGGCGGCCAACUAAGUCAGACGUGAAAUCCCUCGGCUUAACCGGGGAACUGCGUCUGAUACUGGAUGGCUUGAGUUUGGGAGAGGGAUGCGGAAUUCCAGGUGUAGCGGUGAAAUGCGUAGAUAUCUGGAGGAACACCGGUGGCGAAGGCGGCGAUCCUGGACCAACACUGACGCUGAGGAGCGAAAGCCAGGGGAGCAA
rnacentral:rRNA from 1 species